rnacentral:rRNA from 1 species
ACUCAAAGGAAUAGACGGGGACCCGCACAAGCAGCGGAGCGUGUGGUUUAAUUCGAUGCUACACGAAGAACCUUACCAGGGUUUGACAUGCAAGUGGUAGGAAACUGAAAGGGGACCGACCCUUCGGGGAGCUUGCACAGGUGCUGCAUGGCUGUCGUCAGCUCGUGUCGUGAGAUGUUCGGUUAAGUCCGCUAACGAGCGCAACCCUCACUGUGUGUUAUACGUGUCACACGGGACUGCCGGUUUUAAGCCGGAGGAAGGUGGGGAUGACGUCAAGUCAGCAUGGCCUUUAUAUCCUGGGCUACACACACGCUACAAUGGCCGGUACAAUAGGUUGCCAAGCCGCGAGGCGGAGCCAAUCCAUAAAGCCGGCCUCAGUUCAGAUUGUAGGCUGCAACUCGCCUGCAUGAAGACGGAGUUGCUAGUAACCGCAGGUCAGCUAUACUGCGGUGAAUACGUUCCCGGGUCUUGUACACACCGCCCGU